rnacentral:tRNA from 1 species
GUAGUGCAGUGGUUAGCACUCUAAACUUUCAAUCCAGCGCCUCGGGUUCGAAUCCCGAUCG